rnacentral:rRNA from 1 species
UACGUAGGGUGCAAGCGUUAAUCGGAAUUACUGGGCGUAAAGCGUGCGCAGGCGGUUCGCUAAGACAGAUGUGAAAUCCCCGGGCUUAACCUGGGAACUGCAUUUGUGACUGGCGGGCUAGAGUAUGGCAGAGGGGGGUAGAAUUCCACGUGUAGCAGUGAAAUGCGUAGAGAUGUGGAGGAAUACCGAUGGCGAAGGCAGCCCCCUGGGCCAAUACUGACGCUCAUGCACGAAAGCGGGGGGAGCAAACAGG